rnacentral:rRNA from 1 species
AUUGAACGCUGGCGGCAGGCCUAACACAUGCAAGUCGAACGAGUGGCGGACGGGUGAGUAAUGUCUGGGAAACUGCCUGAUGGAGGGGGUUAACUACUGGAAACGGUAGUUAAUACCGCAUACCAUCGGAUGUGCCCAGAUGGGCUUAGCGUGUUGGUGGGGUAACGGCUCACCAAGGCGACGAUCCCUAGCUGGUCUGAGAGGAUGACCAGCCACACUGGAAAUGAGGCACGGUCCAGACUCCUACGGGAGGCAGCAGUGGGGGAUAUUGCACAAUGGGCGAAAGCCGGAUGCAGCCAUGCCGCGUGUAUGAAGAAGGCCUUAGGGUUGUAAAGUACUUUCAGCGGGGAGGCGUUACCCACAGAAGAAGCACCGGCUAACUCCGUGCCAGCAGCCGCGGUAAUAC